rnacentral:rRNA from 1 species
GACGAACGCUGGCGGCGUGCUUAACACAUGCAAGUCGAACGGAAAGGCCCUGCUUUUGUUGGGUGCUCGAGUUGCGAACGGGUGAGUAACACGUGAGUAACCUGCCCUUGACUUUGGGAUAACUUCAGGAAACUUGGGCUAAUGCCGGUUAGUCGCGCCUGCUGCAUGGUGUGGGUUGGGAGGUUUCGGCGGUUGGGGUUGGACUCGCGGCUUAUCAGGUUGUUGGUGGGGUAGUGGCUUGGCAAGGCGUUGACGGGUAGCCGGCCUGGGAGGGUGACCGGCCACAUUGGGACUGAGAUACGGCCAAGACUCCUACGGGAGGCAGCAGUGGGGAAUAUUGCACAAUGGGCGGAAGCCUGAUGCAGCAACGCCGCGUGCGGGAUGACGGCCUUCGGGUUGUAAAGCGCUUUCGCCUGUGAUGAAGCGUGAGUGACGGUAAUGGGUAAAGAAGCACCGGCUAACUACGUG